rnacentral:rRNA from 1 species
AAGGGAUAGUGGCGGACGGGGUGAGUAACGCGUGGGUAACCUGCCCCAACAGACCGGGACAACACUUGGAAACGGGCGCUAAUACCGGAUAAGCUUUUUUUUCCGGCAUCGGAGAGAAAGGAAAAGGCGGCCUCUAUAUAUAUGCUGCCGUUGUUGGAUGGACCCGCGUCUGAUUAGCUGGUUGGUGGGGUAAAGGCCUACCAAGGCGACGAUCAGUAGCCGGCCUGAGAGGGUGAACGGCCACACUGGGACUGAGACACGGCCCAGACUCCUACGGGAGGCAGCAGUGGGGAAUCUUCCGCAAUGGACGCAAGUCUGACGGAGCAACGCCGCGUGUAUGACGAAGGCCUUCGGGUUGUAAAAUACUGUCUUUGGGGACGAAUGUUAGCUAUGAAAAUAUUGUAGUUAAAUGACGGUACCCGAGGAGGAAGCCCCGGCUAACUACGUGCCAGCAGCCGCGGUAAUACGUAGGGGGCGAGCGUUGUCCGGAAUCAUUGGGCGUAAAGGGCGCGUAGGCGGAUAGUUAAGUCCGAUGUGAAAUACCGAGGCUCAACCUUGGGGCUGCAUCGGAAACUGGUUAUCUUGAGAACAGGAGAGGAAAGUGGAAUUCCUAGUGUAGCGGUGAAAUGCGUAGAUAUUAGGAGGAACACCAGUGGCGAAGGCGACUUUCUGGACUGUAACUGACGCUGAGGCGCGAAAGCGUGGGGAGCAAACAGGAUUAGGUACCCUGGUAGUCCACGCCGUAAACGAUGAGUGCUAGGUGUAGAGGGUAUCGACCCCUUCUGUGCCGCAGUUAACACAAUAAGCACUCCGCCUGGGGACUACGGCCGCAAGGUUAAAACUCAAAUGAAUUGACGG